CAAAAAUUUGAUUAUGCAUGCAUAUUUGCUCAAAGGGAGUUUGGAAUAUUAUUUAAGCAACAGGGGGUAACUGCUCGAGUUGAAAUCCUAACGUUUCGCUUUCGUAUUCCCAAUUGUCGCUGGACAACCCAAAAAGAUCUACGAAAAGGAUUGGACUCUUCAAACAUUCACAAAAGGUAAGAUUAUAUUGACUGUCAUUCGCAAUCGAAACUGGCUGUUCGUCAAUAUCAUAUAUCCAACUUUAGUUUUCAAUCGUAAUUGACAAUAAUCCAUGGUUGACCUAUUAUAUGUCAUUUUUGUGCCUAAAAUUGAGGCACUAUACGUUUACUUUUGCGCGCUGUAUUGGGCGAGAUUUUAUGAUUUCCUUAACUCAUUGUAAUUAAGAAAUUCUACGGCUAGAAAUUUAAGCAAUAUUUUAAUACUAUAUAAAUAUGCUUAAAAUUUAAGAAUGAUUUGUUUGCUUAAUUAAUUUAUUUACUUAUUAUAGAAUUAAUUUAGGUAUAUAGAAUGUUGUAAGUUGAACAGUGUGCCUAUAAUUUAUGCGCUAUUUGUAAAUAAAUUCGAUUUUUUUUCUAGACUUCGAUUCAAUAUAUUGUUUAUAGGUUUAGUAUAAUACGAAAACAGUAAACUGGAUGACCCAGUGGCAAUGAAAUAAUAUCUUUUCUUCUUAUAUAGUAAAAAAAUGGCGGGAAAUCCUUCUAUACCAAACCUACAGCCAGUUACAGCAUCAAACCCAG